rnacentral:rRNA from 1 species
GACGAACGCUGGCGGCGCGCUUAACACAUGCAAGUCGAGCGAGAACCAGUCCUUCGGGACUGGGGAAAGCGGCGAACGGGUGAGUAACACGUGGGUAAUCUGCCCUCGGCACUGGGAUAGCCCGGGGAAACCCGGAUUAAUACCGGAUAGCCUUUCGAGCCUUCGGGCUCGUCAGAAAAGGUGGCCUCGGCUUCCGGCGGAGGAUGGGCCCGCGGCGGAUUAGCUUGUUGGUGGGGUAAUGGCCUACCAAGGCGACGAUCCGUAGCUGGUCUGAGAGGACGAUCAGCCACACUGGGACUGAGACGCGGCCCAGACUCCUACGGGAGGCAGCAGUGGGGAAUCUUGCGCAAUGGGCGAAAGCCUGACGCAGCGACGCCGCGUGCGGGAAGAAGGCCUUCGGGUUGUAAACCGCUUUCAGGAGGGACGAAGCCACUCGGGUUAAUAGCCCAGAGGGUGACGGUACCUCCAGAAGAAGCCCCGGCUAACUACGUGCCAGCCGCCGCCGUAAGAC